GCCUUUCGGGGUACACGAGCGGCGAACGGGUGAGUAACACGUGGGUGAUCUGCCCUGCACUUCGGGAUAAGCCUGGGAAACUGGGUCUAAUACCGGAUAUGACCUCCUAUCGCAUGGUGGGUGGUGGAAAGAUUUAUCGGUGCAGGAUGGGCCCGCGGCCUAUCAGCUUGUUGGUGGGGUAAUGGCCUACCAAGGCGACGACGGGUAGCCGACCUGAGAGGGUGACCGGCCACACUGGGACUGAGACACGGCCCAGACUCCUACGGGAGGCAGCAGUGGGGAAUAUUGCACAAUGGGCGAAAGCCUGAUGCAGCGACGCCGCGUGAGGGAUGACGGCCUUCGGGUUGUAAACCUCUUUCAGCAGGGACGAAGCGCAAGUGACGGUACCUGCAGAAGAAGCACCGGCUAACUACGUGCCAGCAGCCGCGGUAAUACGUAGGGUGCAAGCGUUGUCCGGAAUUACUGGGCGUAAAGAGUUCGUAGGCGGUUUGUCGCGUCGUUUGUGAAAACCAGCAGCUCAACUGCUGGCUUGCAGGCAAUACGGGCAGACUUGAGUACUGCAGGGGAGACUGGAAUUCCUGGUGUAGCGGUGAAAUGCGCAGAUAUCAGGAGGAACACCGGUGGCGAAGGCGGGUCUCUGGGCAGUAACUGACGCUGAGGAACGAAAGCGUGGGUAGCGAACAGGAUUAGAUACCCUGGUAGUCCACGCCGUAAACGGUGGGCGCUAGGUGUGGGUUCCU
rnacentral:rRNA from 1 species